rnacentral:rRNA from 1 species
CCUACGGGUGGCAGCAGUGGGGAAUAUUGCACAAUGGGGGAAACCCUGAUGCAGCGCCGCCGCGUGAGUGAUGAAGUAUUUCGGUAUGGAAAGCUCUAUCAGCAGGGAAGAAAUAGCGACCUUUGGGUCGCCAGACGGUACCUGACUAAGAAGCCCCGGCUAACUAUGUGCCAGCAGCCGCGGUAAUACGGAGGGGGCAAGCGUUAUCCGGAUUUACUGGGUGUAAAGGGAGCGUAGACGGCAGCACAAGUCUGAAGUGAAAUGCCGGGGCUUAACCCCGGAACUGCUUCGGAAACUGUGCAGCUAGAGUGCAGGGAAGGUAAGUGGAAUUCCUAGUGUAGCGGUGAAAUGCGUAGAUAUUAGGAGGAACACCAGUGGCGAAGGCGGCUUACUGGACUGUAACUGACGUUGAGGCUCGAAAGCGUGGGGAGCAAACAGGAUUAGAUACCCCUGUAGUC